AUUAACGGGUGUUUUGCAAUUGUGGCUCCGUACAGAUUUGAGAGAUGUGGCACACUCUAGUUCUGCAUUUCAUUGUGGUCGCCUUUAAAAUAAAUCUGGACAUUGACACAGGGAAGAUGACCCAGAGCGGGGAGACUCUUUUGUUGUAAAAUCAUCCUUUUCUCUUACUUCCGGUCUCCUUCACCGCCUGUCUCCAAGGGAAAACCCUGGAGGUUAUUUAUAAAACAAGCAUUAGAAGGCUCAGAAAGGGGAAGAGAAGAAGGCAGACCGACCAGGGAUCUCAGGACCCAAGGAAGGACACGGUGCGUGACUUCCUUUUUGGCCAAAGUGAAGUGAGAAAUUAAGAUGAAGAAGGACUUGAAAUGACAUUUUGGGGCUGGUCCUGCAUCCUUGUUUUUAAAUCAUCCACGUGGCCCACCUGUCUGCCGGUCCCUGGAAGAGGAGGGGUCCCAGGCAGAGUAAAUCAACUCUAGCACACUUGUAACAUGAAGCUGAACCAAUGCACCUGACUGAGAAAGACAUGACCAAAAAGUAAACGUUUAAUUGUUAUAUACCACUGAAAAUCCGAGAUGCGUUCUACCCCAGGAGCCAACUGCUGCGCACACUUGACAUGAGUCUCAUACUGGCAGACACAACAGAAAGUAAGAGCGUAACACUACUAUUUAUAAUGCAUUGGGAGAAAAUGAAUACAAUGUAAAAA